rnacentral:lncRNA from 1 species
AGUCUCAGAUAUGACAUCAGUCUCCUUAAGUAGGUUUAAAUUGUAAAGUAAAGACACUAUAAGAGUAAAACCCCAACAAUCAGUCUUGCUGUGAGCCAGCACAUGGCAACAGUAGGACGGACAAACUUACUUUUAACAAGAAGAAACAGAAGGAAAUCUUGCACAGUCCAGGCUCAGGCAGCCAUGUGCCAGGAGCGGACAGGUGUGAGGGAAAGAGAAGAUAAAAUCUAACGAUACAUGGUGGUGUAUGAACACAUGUGGAGCAGGAAGAUCAGAGUGGAGAAGAAAUUCUCAGUGCAUCACACAAAGUCCCAUUGCAGAAAAACAUAUUCCAGCAUAAGUAAGAGAUGGUUCAGGGUCACCUGACCAAACCCUAACUAUAAGCAUUUUCAAAAAGUGAAGUGUUAAGCCUAAUCUUAAAAGCAGAGUGGGUGUCUAUCACCAGAAUCCAAAAUCAGAGCUGGUUCCACGGGAAAAUAAGACUCUGCUUCCCAUUCUGCAUUCAAAAACUCAAGGAACCAGAAGCCUUUAGCCACAGAGCGAAAUGCUGUAGUAGGAUUAUAUGAUACUAUGACGUCUUUAAGGUAUGAUGAAUACUAAUUUUUCAAGACGUUGUAUGGAUAAGAAUUUUUUAAUUAAUUUGCAUCACUACAUCAUUUAUUAAAGUAAAUGUGAACAUUUUUGCUUUUUGACAUAAAUGUAAACAUUUCUUAAUGCAAAUUACUCUUAUACAUGGUUUUCUUCUAAAACUGGAUUGAUUACCCAGUUUUUCCUCCCUUUAAUCCUAUUAAUGUAGAUUUGCUUAUAAAAACAAUCCAGUAAUUAUGCAAAUUAGGGCAAUAUCACAAAAACUGCGGGCUUACGUCAGCGCAGCGCUGAAAACUGCGUUGCUCUACGUCAUCAAAAAGCGUCGUGGCGGCGUGAGAGGGAAAACAAAUGUCAGUGCAAAUUGCUGUGAGGUUACUGCUCCUGCACCAUAACGCUCUCUCGUGAUUUGCUUCAAAAC